AGCCUGAACGCUGGCGGCGUGGCUAAGACAUGCAAGUCGUACGGGUGUAGCAAUACACCAGUGGCGGACGGGUGAGUAAUGUAUCGCUAACGUACCCCGGACUCUGGGAUAGCUGCCCGAAAGGGCAGGUAAUACCAGAUGACAUAUCCUUAUCGCAUGAUGAGGAUCUCAAAGGGAAACCGUUCUGGGAGCGGGCGAUAUCGUAUCAGCUAGUUGGUAGGGUAACGGCCUACCAAGGCGACGACGCGUAGCCGGACUGAGAGGUUGGCCGGCCACAUUGGGACUGAGACACUGCCCAGACUCCUACGGGGGGCUGCAGUAACGAAUCUUCCGCAAUGCACGCAAGUGUGACGGAGCGACGCCGCGUGUGGGACGAAGUCCUUCGGGAUGUAAACCACUGUCAGGGGUUAGAAGUUCUGAUCAACCCCAGAGGAAGGCACGGCUAACUCUGCGCCAGCAGCCGCGGUAA
rnacentral:rRNA from 1 species